GCCGGGUGCAGUGGCUCCCGCCUGUAAUCUCAGUAUUUUGGGAGGCUGGGGAGAGCAGAUCAUUUGAGGUCAGGAGUUCGAAACCAGCCUGCCCUACAUGGUGAAACCUCGUCUCUACUAAAAAUACAAAAAUUAGCUGGGCGUGGGACUACAGGCACCCACUACCACGCCCAGCUAAUUUUUUUGUUUUUAGUAGAGACGGGGUUUCGCCAUGUUGGUCAGGCUGGUUUCGCGCUCCUAACCUCAGAUGGUCCACCUGCCUU
rnacentral:SRP_RNA from 1 species